rnacentral:lncRNA from 1 species
CAUGGAAAUAUUUCUCUGAGCUUUUCUGCCAUGAAUCCUACAUGAAGAAGGCCUUUGAUUCUCACAGGGGAAAAUCCAUUUUGCCAGAGAGCAAACUCUCUCAGCUCUCUAACUAUGCAUCUAGUCUCCAUCACUCUAAGUCAUGCACAUGAGAAGGUCUGGGAGAAAAAUUUGGCAGAUAUACCAGUUAAAAAGGCAGAUAUAACAUUCAUCAAGAGAUUAGCCCUGAGCUAACAUCUGCCGCCAACACUACUUUUUUGCUGAGGAAGACUGGCCCUGAGCUAACAUCCAUGCCCAUCUUCCUCUACUUUAUAUGUGAGACACCUGCCACAGCAUGGCUCCACAAGCAGUGCAGGUCUGCACCAGGGAUCUCAACCAGUGAACUCCGGGCCACCAAAGUGGAAUGUGCGAACUUAACCACUGUGCCACUGUGCUGGCCCUUCUUUAACAUUUCAUGUCUUUCUUUUUUCAAAAUGUUAU